CUAGCACCUGAGGGAUUCCAGAAGGUUCUGGAAGAGCCGAGUGAAGGCUUCAGGUGGAGACUUUUUCCUGCUGUGCCCGGAGAAGUUCCGUGCUGUGGAGCCUUGGAGGAGGCAGUGAGAGAAUGCUGGAGUCCCUCCAGUGCUGUUCUCCACUGCUCCUGACCUGUGCCAGGUGGGAGCACGAGCCCCACCAAGGAGGAGACGCUGCCGGGGUCAGCUGGAUUUACCUGGAGUGAUGGAGAGCAACGCUCACAGCAUCCUGAAGCUGUAAAUCUCCAGAGUGAAUGUGGAAGCAUCAGUCCUUUAGAAUGUGCCAGGAAUGGCCAGAGAUGAGGGAUCCAAAGGUGCUCAGAAAUAAAAGAAGC